ACGCUGAGAAUGCAUAACACAUGCAAGUCGAUGAGAAGACUUCCUUCGGGGAGAGGUUAUCAUGGCGGACGGGUGAGUAACGCGUAAAGAACUUGCCUUUUGGACUGGGAUAACAGCUGGAAACGGCUGAUAAGACUGGAUAUAAUGAGAUAAUCGCAUGAAUAUUUCAUGAAAAGGAAUACCGGAAGAGAGCUUUGCGUCCUAUUAGCUAGUUGGUGAGGUAAGGGCUCACCAAGGCAGAGAUAGGUAGCCGGCCUGAGAGGGUGGACGGCCACAAGGGGACUGAGAUACGGCCCUUACUCCUACGGGAGGCAGCAGUGGGGAAUAUUGGACAAUGGAGGAGACUCUGAUCCAGCAAUUCUGUGUGCACGAAGAAGGUUUUCGGAUUGUAAAGUGCUUUCAGCAGGGAAGAAGGAAGUGACGGUACCUGCAGAAGAAGCGACGGCUAAAUACGUGCCAGCAGCCGCGGUAAUACGUAUGUCGCGAGCGUUAUCCGGAAUUAUUGGGCAUAAAGGGCAUCUAGGCGGUAUAUCAAGUCAGGGGUGAAAACUUACGGCUCAACCGUGAGCUUGCCUUUGAAACUGAGAUACUGGAGUACCGGAGAGGUGGGCGGAACUACACGAGUAGAGGUGAAAUUCGUAGAUAUGUGUAGGAAUGCCGAUGAUGAAGAUAGCUCACUGGACGGCAACUGACGCUGAAGUGCGAAAGCUAGGGGAGCGAACAGGAUUAGAUACCCUGGUAGUCCUAGCUGUAAACGAUGAUCACUGGGUGUGGGCAUGUGGAGUGUCUGCGCCGAAGCAAAUGCGAUAAGUGAUCCGCCUGGGGAGUACGGCCGCAAGGCUGAAACUCAAAUGAAUUGACGG
rnacentral:rRNA from 1 species